rnacentral:rRNA from 1 species
ACGAACGCUGGCGGCGUGCUUAACACAUGCCAGUCGAACGGAAAGGCCCUGCUUUUGUGGGGUGCUCGAGUGGCGAACGGGUGAGUAACACGUGAGUAACCUGCCCUUGACUUUGGGAUAACUUCAGGAAACUGGGGCUAAUACCGGAUAGGAGCUCCUGCUGCAUGGUGGGGGCUGGAAAGUUUCGGCGGUUGGGGAUGGACUCGCGGCUUAUCAGCUUGUUGGUGGGGUAGUGGCUUACCAAGGCUUUGACGGGUAGCCGGCCUGAGAGGGUGACCGGCCACAUUGGGACUGAGAUACGGCCCAGACUCCUACGGGAGGCAGCAGUGGGGAAUAUUGCACAAUGGGCGGAAGCCUGAUGCAGCAACGCCGCGUGCGGGAUGACGGCCUUCGGGUUGUAAACCGCUUUCGCCUGUGACGAAGCGUGAGUGACGGUAAUGGGUAAAGAAGCACCGGCUAACUACGUG